GAGCGGCGGACGGGUGAGUAAUGCCUGGGAAAUUGCCCUGAUGUGGGGGAUAACCAUUGGAAACGAUGGCUAAUACCGCAUAAUAGCUUCGGCUCAAAGAGGGGGACCUUCGGGCCUCUCGCGUCAGGAUAUGCCCAGGUGGGAUUAGCUAGUUGGUGAGGUAAUGGCUCACCAAGGCGACGAUCCCUAGCUGGUCUGAGAGGAUGAUCAGCCACACUGGAACUGAGACACGGUCCAGACUCCUACGGGAGGCAGCAGUGGGGAAUAUUGCACAAUGGGCGCAAGCCUGAUGCAGCCAUGCCGCGUGUGUGAAGAAGGCCUUCGGGUUGUAAAGCACUUUCAGUCGUGAGGAAGGUGGUAGUGUUAAUAGCACUAUCAUUUGACGUUAGCGACAGAAGAAGCACCGGCUAACUCCGUGCCAGCAGCCGCGGUAAUACGGAGGGUGCGAGCGUUAAUCGGAAUUACUGGGCGUAAAGCGCAUGCAGGUGGUUUGUUAAGUCAGAUGUGAAAGCCCGGGGCUCAACCUCGGAAUAGCAUUUGAAACUGGCAAGCUAGAGUACUGUAGAGGGGGGUAGAAUUUCAGGUGUAGCGGUGAAAUGCGUAGAGAUCUGAAGGAAUACCGGUGGCGAAGGCGGCCCCCUGGACAGAUACUGACACUCAGAUGCGAAAGCGUGGGGAGCAAACAGGAUUAGAUACCCUGGUAGUCCACGCCGUAAACGAUGUCUACUUGGAGGUUGUGGCCUUGAGCCGUGGCUUUCGGAGCUAACGCGUUAAGUAGACCGCCUGGGGAGUACGGUCGCAAGAUUAAAACUCAAAUGAAUUGACGGGGGCCCGCACAAGCGGUGGAGCAUGUGGUUUAAUUCGAUGCAACGCGAAGAACCUUACCUACUCUUGACAUCCAGAGAAUCCUGCGGAGACGCGGGAGUGCCUUCGGGAACUCUGAGACAGGUGCUGCAUGGCUGUCGUCAGCUCGUGUUGUGAAAUGUUGGGUUAAGUCCCGCAACGAGCGCAACCCUUAUCCUUGUUUGCCAGCGAGUCAUGUCGGGAACUCCAGGGAGACUGCCGGUGAUAAACCGGAGGAAGGUGGGGACGACGUCAAGUCAUCAUGGCCCUUACGAGUAGGGCUACACACGUGCUACAAUGGCGCAUACAGAGGGCAGCGAACUUGCGAAAGUAAGCGAAUCCCAAAAAGUGCGUCGUAGUCCGGAUUGGAGUCUGCAACUCGACUCCAUGAAGUCGGAAUCGCUAGUAAUCGUGAAUCAGAAUGUCACGGUGAAUACGUUCCCGGGCCUUGUACACACC
rnacentral:rRNA from 1 species